rnacentral:rRNA from 1 species
GACGAACGCUGGCGGCGUGCUUAACACAUGCAAGUCGAACGGAAAGGCCCUGCUUUUGUGGGGUGCUCGAGUGGCGAACGGGUGAGUAACACGUGAGUAACCUGUCCUUGACUUUGGGAUAACCUCAGGAAACUGGGGCUAAUACCGGAUAGGAGCUCCUGCUGCAUGGUGGGGGUUGGAAAGUUUCGGCGGUUGGGGAUGGACUCGCGGCUUAUCAGCUUGUUGGUGGGGUAGUGGCUUACCAAGGCUUUGACGGGUAGCCGGCCUGAGAGGGUGACCGGCCACAUUGGGACUGAGAUACGGCCCAGACUCCUACGGGAGGCAGCAGUGGGGAAUAUUGCACAAUGGGCGGAAGCCUGAUGCAGCAACGCCGCGUGCGGGAUGGCGGCCUUCGGGUUGUAAACCGCUUUCGCCUGUGACGAAGCGUGAGUGACGGUAAUGGGUAAAGAAGCACCGGCUAACUACGUG